ensembl:misc_RNA Metazoa_SRP Metazoan signal recognition particle RNA
GUUGGGCGUGGUGGCUCACGCCUGUAAUCCCAGCACUUUGGGAGGCUGAGGUGGGCGGAUCACCUGAGGUCAGGAGUUUGAUACCAGCCUGGCCAACAUGGUGAAACCCCAUCUCUA